CAUUCGUUUAUUUUCUUCAGUUUUGUAAAGAUUUUUGUAGUGACGGGUGUGUGGCUGUCGCCGGUUUUUGUAUUGGGAAACGCUUCAAUAUUUCCAUUUCUUUUCGAAAUAAUGAAUGUUUUAUGACACAAUUAGUUCGUGAUAUAUUUUUUGUGUUAUUAAUUUCAUUGUUAUAGUGUAAAGCUCGUGCUAGUGUAAUUUAUUUGCAUUCAAUUGCAGUUCAGUGGUUGUGCAAGGAUUUGUCCCUUCGUUUUCUUGGCUUAUCUGCUGCAUUUCUCGUUGUACAAGGCUCAUAAGAUGUGUUCACGAUGAUCCAGCGAAUGACGGAGGCAAUGGCGUCGUAGGGCCACCACUUAUUUGCUCAUCGAGGUGUAAUCGUGUAAGGUCGCGAUGGGCG